AUAAUGGGUCAGCGACUUAUAUUCUGUAGCAAGGUUAACCGAAUAGGGGAGCCGAAGGGAAACCGAGUCUUAACUGGGCGUUAAGUUGCAGGGUAUAGACCCGAAACCCGGUGAUCUAGCCAUGGGCAGGUUGAAGGUUGGGUAACACUAACUGGAGGACCGAACCGACUAAUGUUGAAAAAUUAGCGGAUGACUUGUGGCUGGGGGUGAAAGGCCAAUCAAACCGGGAGAUAGCUGGUUCUCCCCGAAAGCUAUUUAGGUAGCGCCUCGUGAAUUCAUCUCCGGGGGUAGAGCACUGUUUCGGCAAGGGGGUCAUCCCGACUUACCAACCCGAUGCAAACUGCGAAUACCGGAGAAUGUUAUCACGGGAGACACACGGCGGGUGCUAACGUCCGUCGUGAAGAGGGAAACAACCCAGACCGCCAGCUAAGGUCCCAAAGUCAUGGUUAAGUGGGAAACGAUGUGGGAAGGCCCAGACAGCCAGGAUGUUGGCUUAGAAGCAGCCAUCAUUUAAAGAAAGCGUAAUAGCUCACUGGUCGAGUCGGCCUGCGCGGAAGAUGUAACGGGGCUAAACCAUGCACCGAAGCUGCGGCAGCGACGCUUAUGCGUUGUUGGGUAGGGGAGCGUUCUG
rnacentral:rRNA from 1 species